rnacentral:rRNA from 1 species
CCUACGGGAGGCAGCAGUGGGGAAUAUUGCGCAAUGGGCGAAAGCCUGACGCAGCGACGCCGCGUGAGGGAUGAAGGUCUUCGGAUCGUAAACCUCUGUCAGCAGGGAAGAACGGUCACUGUGCUAAUCAGCAGUGCAUUGACGGUACCAGCAAAGGAAGCACCGGCUAACUCCUUGCCAGCAGCCGCGGUAAUACGGCGGGUGCGAGCGUUAAUCGGAAUUACUGGGCGGAAAGCGCUCGUAGGCGGUAUGUCAAGUCAAGGGUGAAAUCCCCGCGCUCAACGUGGGAACUGCCUUUGAAACUGGCAAACUGGAGUGUGUGAGAGGAUAGUGGAAUGCCAGGUGUAGGAGUGAAAUCCGUAGAUAUCUGGAGGAACAUCAGUGGCGAAGGCGACUAUCUGGCACAUAACUGACGCUGAGGAGCGAAAGCGUGGGUAGCAAACAGGAUUAGAUACCCUAGUAGUC